GACGAACGCUGGCAGCGUGCUUAACACAUGCAAGUCGAACGGUGAAGCGCUUUCCUUUUUGGUUGGUGUGGAUGAGUGGCGAACGGGUGAGUAACACGUGAGUAACCUGCCCCCUUCUUCUGGAUAACCGCAUGAAAGUGUGGCUAAUACGGGAUAUUCUGCGCCUGCUGCAUGGUGGGUGUGGGAAAGAUUGUGCCUUUGGGUGUUUUCGGUGGGGGAUGGGCUCGCGGCCUAUCAGCUUGUUGGUGGGGUGAUGGCCUACCAAGGCGGUGACGGGUAGCCGGCCUGAGAGGGUGGACGGUCACACUGGGACUGAGACACGGCCCAGACUCCUACGGGAGGCAGCAGUGGGGAAUAUUGCACAAUGGGCGCAAGCCUGAUGCAGCGACGCCGCGUGAGGGAGGGAGGCCUUCGGGUUGUGAACCUCUUUCGCCAGUGAAGCAGGCCUGCUCCUUGUGGGUGGGUUGACGGUAGCUGGAUAAGAAGCGCCGGCUAACUACGUG
rnacentral:rRNA from 1 species